rnacentral:rRNA from 1 species
AUUGAACGCUGGCGGCAUGCCUUACACAUGCAAGUCGAACGGUAACGCGGGGCAACCUGGCGACGAGUGGCGAACGGGUGAGUAAUAUAUCGGAACGUGCCCAAUAGUGGGGGAUAGCCCGGCGAAAGCCGGAUUAAUACCGCAUGAGACCUGAGGGUGAAAGCGGGGGAUCGCAAGACCUCGCGCUAUUGGAGCGGCCGAUAUCAGAUUAGGUAGUUGGUGGGGUAAAAGCCUACCAAGCCGACGAUCUGUAGCUGGUCUGAGAGGACGACCAGCCACACUGGGACUGAGACACGGCCCAGACUCCUACGGGAGGCAGCAGUGGGGAAUUUUGGACAAUGGGCGCAAGCCUGAUCCAGCCAUGCCGCGUGCGAGAAGAAGGCC